ensembl:snoRNA snoRNA:Me28S-U1554
GCAUUAAUUAUGAACGAGCCAGCGUAGAUAUUAUAUCACAAGUGUCUGAGCAGCCACUGUCCGUCCAGAGGCAUAACCAUAGUCAUACUUUUUAAUGGCCCAUAAACCUGAAGGG